UACGUAGGGCGCAAGCGUUAUCCGGAAUUAUUGGGCGUAAAGAGCUCGUAGGCGGUUUGUCGCGUCUGCUGUGAAAACCCGAGGCUCAACCUCGGGCCUGCAGUGGGUACGGGCAGACUAGAGUGCGGUAGGGGAGAUUGGAAUUCCUGGUGUAGCGGUGGAAUGCGCAGAUAUCAGGAGGAACACCGAUGGCGAAGGCAGAUCUCUGGGCCGUAACUGACGCUGAGGAGCGAAAGCAUGGGUAGCGAACAGG
rnacentral:rRNA from 1 species